UACGUAGGGGGCAAGCGUUGUCCGGAAUCAUUGGGCGUAAAGAGCGCGUAGGCGGCCCUGUAAGUCCGCUGUGAAAGUCAAGGGCUCAACCCUUGGAUGCCGGUGGAUACUGCAGGGCUAGAGUCCGGAAGAGGCGAGUGGAAUUCCUGGUGUAGCAGUGAAAUGCGCAGAUAUCAGGAGGAACACCGAUGGCGAAGGCAGCUCGCUGGGACGGUACUGACGCUGAGGCGCGAAAGCGUGGGGAGCAAACAGG
rnacentral:rRNA from 1 species